rnacentral:piRNA from 1 species
UAAUUACCAGAUGUGCUAGGAUCAGUUGC